rnacentral:misc_RNA from 1 species
GAUGAAGAACGCAGCGAAAUGCGAUAAGUAGUGUGAAUUGCAGAAUUCAGUGAAUCAUCGAAUCUUUGAACGCACAUUGCGCCCCUUGGUAUUCCAUGGGGCAUCCCUGUUCGAGCGUCAUUUGUACCUUCAAGCUCUGCUUGGUGUUGGGUGUUUGUCCCGCCUCUGCGUGUAGACUCGCCUCAAAACAAUUGGCAGCCGGCGUAUUGAUUUCGGAGCGCAGUACAUCUCGCGCUUUGCAGUCAUAACGACGACGUCCAAAAGUACAUUUUUACACUCUUGACCUCGGAUCAGGUAGGGAUACCCGCUGAACUUAAGCAUAUCAAUAAGCGGAGGA